rnacentral:rRNA from 1 species
AUUGAACGCUGGCGGCAUGCUUUACACAUGCAAGUCGAACGGUAACAGGGUGCUUGCACCGCUGACGAGUGGCGAACGGGUGAGUAAUGCGUCGGAACGUGCCGAGUAGUGGGGGAUAACGCAGCGAAAGUUGUGCUAAUACCGCAUACGUACUGAGGUAGAAAGUGGGGGACCUUCGGGCCUCACGCUAUUCGAGCGGCCGACGUCUAAUUAGCUAGUAGGUGAGGUAAAGGCUCACCUAGGCGACGAUCAGUAGCGGGUCUGAGAGGAUGAUCCGCCACACUGGGACUGAGACACGGCCCAGACUCCUACGGGAGGCAGCAGUGGGGAAUUUUGGACAAUGGGCGAAAGCCUGAUCCAGCCAUGCCGCGUGUCUGAAGAAGGCCUUCGGGUUGUAAAGGACUUUUGUCAGGGAGGAAAUCCCUAGUGCUAAUAACACUGGGGGAUGACAGUACCUGAAGAAUAAGCACCGGCUAACUACGUGCCAGCCGCCGCGGUAA